rnacentral:rRNA from 1 species
AAAGAGGAGGCAAGCGUUGUUCGGAAUCACUGGGCUUAAAGCGCGUGUAGGCGGCCGAGUAAGUGUUGUGUGAAAGCCCGCGGCUCAACCGCGGAACGGCACGGCAAACUGCUCGGCUUGAGGUCGGUAGAGGUGCCUGGAACUCUAGGUGGAGCGGUGAAAUGCGUAGAUAUCUAGAGGAAGGGCGGAGGCGAAGGCGGGGCACUGUGCCGGUUCUGACGCUGAGGCGCGAAAGCGUGGGGAGCAAACAU